CAUUUCCUUUGCCCGCAUAUGUGCGUGGUCUUCUGAAGCGUUGUUCUUGCUUGUAGAUACUUCCGGAGGCUCUGGGACCAUCGUUAACAACAUUGUCUUUGACGCCUCGGAACUUUUAUCCUGCGGUCACUGCACAUAGUGAAUCCUCCGGAGUCUUCUGUGGGUUAUCUUUGGAACCCUUGCAGGACAGAACCAACUUGACUUCCUUCCACAGCUCCACCCAGACAGAUUCCUGAAAAGACAAAUGAAGGACACUUUGGCGUUUUAAAAAAACUCGAGAGUAACGAUGAUUAUGGCGCCGGCGCAGCCGAAUAUUAGUGCCAGGAACACGCCACCCACGUUCGAGAGGCCCAUCUCGUUGGUGGCCGAGGCGGCUGACUCCAAGGGACAU